rnacentral:tRNA from 1 species
GUAGUGGUGGCUCAGUGGCAGAGCGGCGGACAAGGAUCCGAAGGUCGUCGGUUCGAUUCCGGCCCACAUCCC